GGUGAUAGCGCCACCGGUGCUCCGUCGUGUCCGUACUUCCUAGGACGUCCACGCUUCUUCUUCAUGGGUCCGCUGGAGAAACCUUCAGUUGUUGGCGGCGGCGCAGUCGGAGCAAAGGAAUUUUGAGGAGGAGCGACGGUGGUUGGAGGUGGAUUUGAAGUUUCUGACCUCGGAGCCACGUGGAAGUCCGACGGCGCGUUGGAUCUCACUACCAUAACGCCACCGUCGCUCACGUCGGAUGUCCUAACAACUUCUCCGGUAGACUCCAUAUCUAGAAGAUUAUUACUUAUUUUGACAAACUUAAUAUAGAUUUUGGGACAGAAGAUUUAAUUUUCCAAAUCUAAAGCUUAAAGCAUUCAACAAAUUAAAGAAGCAAUACCAAAAUAAGAACAAUAACUUUGUAAAAUAAAUCAGAUUAAAAAUCAAAGAGGAAGAAAAUCAUUCAGAAAUACAUGACAAAAAAAAUAUUUUCUUCUAGGAAAUAUUGUUUCUAAGAAUUUAAAGACUGGUAAUUAUUAGGAUGAAAUUAGGAAAUGUUUGAGAGGAAAGUGAGGAAAAUUAGGUUUAUUUAUGCUGUAUGGUUUAGAUGGAAAAAGAAAAUGAAUAUAUUUUGAUUUUGAAUAUGGAAAUAUCAUGAUUAAAAAAACAUUUACUUUAUAUUUUAAUAUUUCGGUUCAGGCUUUCAGUUCAUUUCCUUCCUAACUUUUUCCUUGUCUGUCCGUUUAUAAUUUAAUAUUGAAUAAAUUAAGUAAUCUCGAAAAGAAAAUGUAUGUUUGGUAAAAGGAAAUGUAUUUAAUGGAGCGUUAUAAAUUAUACUACACCUCACAUUAAAUUUAUAUUUUAACUUUCGGAGAAAAUGAUAUUUUUUUGGCAUAUAUAGAAAUUCGUGUUUUUAGCUGGAAUCCGAUGGGAAAAUUAAUAAAUUAAAAGAGAGAAUAAAUAAUAAAUAUUAAGUAGAAAAACUGAAAGUGGGUGAUACUAAUUUGAAUUUCUCUUGUUUUGAAUUAUAUAUUAUAAAAGACAGAGGUGGCCUGCAGAUAAGAGUUGUUUAUUUCUUUUCUUUUCUUUUUGACAUCAAGAGUUGUUUAUUUCAUUAGCCGUAUUUUUUUCACUAUUGUUUGUAAUGUCUAGAUUUUAAAUCUAGCAAAAAAAACUAAAUAAUGUAGGACACAAAUUCUAUAAAUACUGUCUUUUAAUGUUUGAAGUCAUUUUAUGCUAAGUUCAAAUUUAAUUUCUUAGAACAUCCUCGUGCUAAAAUUUCCAAUUACACAUGUACUUUGUUUUAGUAACCCUCAAAGACUAGCAAAUUCUACAUUAAAUAGUUGUCGUUGUUCUUUUUAGAUGAUCCCAGCGUUUUGUCCUCAAUCUUCUCAAAAUUUUAAGUGUCUAUGGCCUAUGAUUACAUAAUCUUGUAUUGAGUUUGGCAUAUUCUCCAACAAAAACUUACAAAAAAAUGAAAAGAAAAGACGUUCACGAAAAGAAGAAGUACGUAUCUUUUUGUAAGAAGAACUACUUAGAUUAUUAGUUAUACCUCUGUUCAUUCAAGCUCAUACUGCGAUUUAGCUAAUUUGAAAUUUAACAUCAUCUAAGAAUAGUAUAUAUUGUUUUAGGUGUAAACAUGGAAAUUUGCACAAAAGAAAUGCUGCCGUGCAUUUUUAGUUAAACUCUUUAACGGAUAUAGUAUGGAAAAAAAUUCAUGGCAAUUUACAGGAUUAAGCGGCAGUUAAUAUAUAUUCUGAUAGUUAUCAAAAAAAAAAUAUAUAUUCUGAAAUAAGAAAGUAAGUUUAUAUGUAUAAAAAGGUGAUUAAACAUGCUGGAUAUUUCCAAUCACUGCACUGCGUAUACUUGUUAUGCAUAUAAACCGACUAAUCUCUUUUUUUUUUGCUAAAUAUAAACCGACUAAUCUCGGGUUCGAGGAGUAAAUAAUUAGUUAUGUUAGUGUUGUUCAUAUUGACCCGCGUGUAACGGCGUAGGACUGAAGUUUACGUAUUUGUUAAAGAUGUUGAGUACAAUUCCUUUUGGGAACAAUCGAACACUACAUGGGCAUCUGCACGAGUUCCUUAUCACGGCAGGUAGCGAAAGGACCUGCUCAUCUCCGACGAGCUUGACCCGGAUUACGGUGCUGAACAAAAACAAAGGCUUUGUCUGGGAUAGCUAAAAUUUUAUAUGUUUUCUUAUGCUUGUGUGCAAUGGAGGGUUUUAUUACAUGUCCCUUUUUUUUAAGGUUUAGCUCAAUUUGCUAUCUACCAAACUAAGUUAUGUCACCUUGAGUUACGAGCACUAAUUUUAUGAUAAAAAUUAUAAGAGGAGUAUGUUUACUGUAACUGAAUAUAUGUUUAUUGUAUAUUUUUCUUUGUCAACAGUAUUAGUUUAUUUUAUUUGUAUUUAGUUGUAAUCUUUUCACAUGUUUAGCUCACAUUGAUAUCUACCAAACUAAUUAAUGAUAUCUUCAAUUAUAAGCAAUUUGUUCUAAUAUAUAGAUAUACACACAUAUUUUAUCAUUUUCUUUGCCGACAAUUAUAGUUUGCCACUUUAUGUGCUAAUAUAAACACACAUUAGUAUAUGAUAAAAUAUACAAGAGAAAUAUUUUUUCCCGGUUUGGCUACUUUAUUGUUUGAAUAAUUUAGAAAAUGGAAGUAAUCAUGAAUCAUAAGUAUUUAUAAUUUAUAUUUAAAACCGAAUAUAAUGUAAAUCGGGACCACAAAAGCAUUGACCCUUAUAGCUAUAUUAACACACCUAAUUUGUCAAAAGCAAUAAGAUAAUUAAGAAAAUAAAGAUUAGAUAAGAACCACGUAUUUAUAGUAUUAAUUUAUUUAUUUUUUCCUGUUAGAAUACAAUUAUUUUCUUAUAAAUAUUCCGAUGUGCCUUUCACGGCAAUUUUGUGUUUGUUCAGAAAUCCAGAGUCUUCCCUUUUUUAAUCUUUAACAACAAAUCAAAAUUAGUAGAAUGCGGACCAAUAAACAAUUAGAGUACAAAAUUCUAAGGCAACAAGAAGGAACCAUAAUUAAAGGUUACUAUUAAAUAUUUAAUCUCCCCGUUCCUAAUAAAUCCAUGUUAUAGUUUUUUCACACUUAUUAAAAAAAUAUUUAAAAUUUUAUUUUCUAAUACAUUAUUUUUCUUAAUUAAUUAUUUCCAAUAACUUUUAACCAAUGAGAUUUUAUUAAACAUAGUUGUAUUUUUGAAAAGUACAAUUGUUCAUUAAUUAAUGUUUUGAAAAUGUAAAAAUAUUUUUUUAAAACAAUUUUUUUUCUAAAAAAUGGAUCUAUAAAAAAUAAAGGGAGUAUAUUUUAAUAUAUUCUUUUCCAAACUGUAUAAUUUGCGAAAGUCAUAGGUUUGUAUUGUUGUAUGUAUUACAAGAGAAAACCGUUUGUCAGAAAAAAAUACCCGAUUUGUGCUAUACUUAUAUCUAGUAGUAUUACUAUUAUUUAGUUUUAGUGCUAUUUAUUUAGUUUAGAGGUGAAUGUUUGGUUUUGAGUUUCGACUAUGUGUGUUCAGUGUUCUCAUCUGAUUGUUGAAGGCUUGAAGCCAUCAUUAUUAAGAUACUGUGACACGAAAUAAGAUUAAUACUAAGAUAUUUUAAUAGUACAUGUUAUUCUAAAAUAGGUUAUCCUUUACGUCCUAACCCCUGACGUAUCGGCAAAUGGCAGUAUGUAAUAGUAAUACCAUGUGAAUACAAGUGGUCAAGUAUACUAAUUUUAUAAAAUCAUCGGCGUGUGAUUAAAAGUUUAUUAAGAAUAUUUUUCAUAUCAUGUGUUAGAGAGUUAAAAGAUUAAAAUCAUUUCAUAAUUUUUGUUGACAUGAUAUCGGAUUCGGUGAUAGCGCCACCGGUGCUCCGUCGUGUCCGUACUUCCUAGGACGUCCACGCUUCUUCUUCAUGGGUCCGCUGGAGAAACCUUCAGUUGUUGGCGGCGGCGCCGUCGGAGCAAAGGAAUUUUGAGGAGGAGCGACGGAGGUUGGAGGUGGAUUUGAAGUUUCUGACCUCGGAGCCAUGUGGAAGUCCGACGGCGCGUUGGAUCUCACUACCAUAACGCCACCGUCGCUCACGUCGGAUGUCCUAACAACUUCUCCGGUAGACUCCAUAUCUAGAAGAUUAUUACUUAUUUUGACAAACUUAAUAUAGAUUUUGGGACAGAAGAUUUAAUUUUCCAAAUCUAAAGCUUAUAAAGCAUUCAACAAACUAAAGAAGCAAUACCAAAAUACGAACAAUAACU
rnacentral:lncRNA from 1 species